AUUUGGUUAAAACUUGAAGAAAGGGAUAAAAUGUACUAAUUGGUCUGUUCCCUAAUUAACUCUACUAAGGUUCAUGAAUGUUGGAACCAUUCAGCCUCUUCCAGAAUAUCCAUGGCCCAGCACUAGAAUGCGGUGAUGGAAAGAGGAACAUCUUUCUAAAUGUAUUUCCUGGUAUGAAAUCAUUCUUGAGUUAUAAUCUUAUCACAGCCACAAUUUUUUUAUGGAUUAUAUUUUUAUUCAAGGGCCUGUUGCUAACUGGCACGUCACUUAUAAAUGAAAAAAUUCCUCCCCCCUCAAAAAAGAAAAUCCCCUCCCCCAAAUCCAAGGCAGUUCCAUCCAUGUCCAGAUUUUACAAAUUAAAGAAAGAAAAGAUGAGUUUGGCCCCUGUGGGUACAUAUUGGGAGAGCAGGUGAAACAGGAGUUCCUGAGCUGGUUCACACAAAAUUUAGAGGCUCUGUGAACUUGGAAUCUUUCCCCUAACCUCAAACUAAAUGUGUGUCUUCCUUCAAUUAUGAAUGUAGACAACCUGUGACUGUGCCACCAAUAGAAAGAAGAUAUUUUAAUUUUACAUGAAAGUUGUCAACAGACUCUCCACUCUUAAAUGAAGCUUGUUAUUAGAUCUGCUGCAAGAUUCUAUGUAAAGCACAUGGACUACCUGAUUAUAAAUUUGUUUUAAUAUUUGGAGAAUUUUAUGCUAUUGGUUUCCUUUGUAAUCCUAUUCAUUUUACAGUAG
rnacentral:lncRNA from 1 species